rnacentral:rRNA from 1 species
GAUGUUGUUUAAUGGCCGCGGUAUUUUGACCGUGCAAAGGUAGCAUAAUCAUUAGCCUAUUAAUUGUGGGCUUGUAUGAAUGGUUUGACGAANUAUUUACUGUCUCUUUAGUAAAAUUAUAAUUUAAAUUUGUAGUUAAAAUGCUGGAAUUUUUUUAUGGGACGAGAAGACCCUAUAGAUCUUUAUAUUUUUGUUUUUUAUUAUUUUUAGGUUAUUUGAUAUUGAUUUAUUAAAAUAUUUUGUUGGGGUGACAUGGGGAUAUAUUUAACUCUUUAUUUUUUUUUUUUU